GGCUGCAUGGCAUAGUAGUUUGAGUGUUGGACUAUGACUUUGGAGACCAGGGUUCAAUUCCCAGCUCAGCUA
rnacentral:tRNA from 1 species